GAUUCUGAGGAGUCCAUGUGUGGCUUCGCCUGCCUGGGUCUGCAGAUGCUGGAGUUCCUGGCAGGAGUGAGAAAGAAGAGGAGGGAAGCAAAAUGUGCCCAGCGAUGCAGCCUUUCAGGGGUGGCUGGGGGUCAGGGUUUCCUGGUGAGGAGAUCACCUGAGGGGAUGAAGACACCAAAUCAAAGCCUUCUCCACCGCAUCAGCGGUCGGGAAGUUUGCUGAAGAGCACCUGUCUCCUCACUCAAAGAUGCUGGAGUCGCUGCUGGUCCUACACUCCCACUUCAGCCCAAAGCCCUCUCUGUUUCUGCCUGCUGUGCGCUGUGUCUGCAUCACAGGACUUGUGUGAGUGACACAAAGUGGCAUUUGAUAACGUGGGAGCCCACAACUCUUGAGUGCUUGUGACUUGCCAGGUGUGUGCUGAGCACGUUUUGGGCCUUGUCCCCAGGACUCUGCAGAGCAACCUGUUUUCAGAAAGAGAGCCUCAGGGAGAAGAAGGAGCAUAGAGCAGGAACGUGCCAGACACAGAUUCCAGUGAAGACAACCGAUUCCGGGCCUGCAUUCUGAGCGACUCCCUGAAGACUGGCACGCGUAGCCCCGCGGCUGUCAGGCCUAGCUGACUUUUGACGUUGUCGCCUCAGGCUGCUCCCAGCUGCCUUGGAGAUGGCCACAGGGACCCGGGGAGAGGGGCAAGAGGGGACUAAUGAAAGCAUGGAAAGCGCAGCCCAGGCACAGGGUCCUGACAUACGACUUGCUUCCAUUUCCGACUUGAACGUUCAGCUUUACUGUGGU